rnacentral:rRNA from 1 species
GAUGAACGCUGGCGGCGUGCCUAAUACAUGCAAGUCGAGCGAACAGACGAGGAGCUUGCUCCUCUGACGUUAGCGGCGGACGGGUGAGUAACACGUGGAUAACCUACCUAUAAGACUGGGAUAACUUCGGGAAACCGGCGCUAAUACCGGAUAAUAUAUUGCACCGCAUGGUUCAAUAGUGAAAGACGGUUUUGCUGGAACUUAUAGAUGGAUCCCGGCCGCAUUAGCUAGUUGGUAAGGUAACGGCUUACCAAGGCAACGAUGCGUAGCCGACCGGAUAGGCGGAUAGGCCACACUGGAACUGAGACACGGUCCAGACUCCUACGGGAGGCAGCAGUAGGGAAUCUUCCGCAGAGGGCGGAAGCCUGACGGAGCAACGCCGCGUGAGUGAUGAAGGUCUUCGGAUCGUAAAACUCUGUUAUUAGGGAAGAACAAAUGUGUAAGUAACUAUGCACGUCUUGACGGUACCUAAUCAGAAAGCCACGGCUAACUACGUG